rnacentral:rRNA from 1 species
GACCUCAAAUCAGGUAGGACUACCCGCUGAACUUAAGCAUAUCAAUAAGCGGAGGAAAAGAAACUAACAAGGAUUCCCCUAGUAACUGCGAGUGAAGCGGGAAAAGCUCAAAUUUAAAAUCUGGCGGUCUUUGGCCGUCCGAGUUGUAAUCUAGAGAAGUGUUACCCGCGCUGGACCGUGUAUAAGUCUCCUGGAAUGGAGUGUCAUAGAGGGUGAGAAUCCCGUCUUUGACACGGACUGCCAGUGCUUUGUGGUACGCUCUCAAAGAGUCGAGUUGUUUGGGAAUGCAGCUCAAAAUGGGUGGUAAAUUCCAUCUAAAGCUAAAUAUUGGCGAGAGACCGAUAGCGAACAAGUACCGUGAGGGAAAGAUGAAAAGAACUUUGGAAAGAGAGUUAAACAGUACGUGAAAUUGCUGAAAGGGAAACGCUUGAAGUCAGUCGCGUUGUCCGGGAAUCAACCUUGCUUUUGCUGGGCGUACUUUCCGGUUGACGGGUCAACAUCAAUUUUGACCGUUGGAUAAAGGUUAAGGGAAUGUGGCAUCUUCGGAUGUGUUAUAGCCCUUGGUCGCAUACAACGAUUGGGAUUGAGGAACUCAGCACGCCGCAAGGCCGGGAAUUUAUUCCACGUUCGUGCUUAGGAUGUUGGCAUAAUGGCUUUAAUCGACCCGUCUUGAAACACGGACCAAGGAGUCUAACAUGCCUGCGAGUGUUUGGGUGGUAAACCCGAGCGCGUAAUGAAAGUGAAAGGUUGAGAUCCCUGUCGUGGGGAGCAUCGACGCCCGGACCAGACCUUUUGUGACGGAUCCGCGGUAGAGCAUGUAUGUUGGGACCCGAAAGAUGGUGAACUAUGCCUGAAUAGGGUGAAGCCAGAGGAAACUCUGGUGGAGGCUCGUAGCGAUUCUGACGUGCAAAUCGAUCGUCAAAUUUGGGUAUAGGGGCGAAAGACUAAUCGAACCAUCUAGUAGCUGGUUCCU